ensembl:lncRNA
GGAAGUACCACGAUCUGCUCAUGUCAUGUUUUGCCGAUAAAGAAAUCCAAAACGCAGGCGGUGACAGAACAGCCUCUGGAUGUGUGUAAUGAUUAGCGAGGACUAUAACUCGAAGGCUCAAACUACCUGGGACAGAUGCCAAAUGCUGACAAAGGCAAUCAUUGCAUUCCCAGGGGCGAGCAAAACCAACGCUUCGUCCUCUCACUCUUCCUUUGGGAGGGUUAUUUAUAUUCCUCGAGAAACCACCGAAAGCAUUGACUAAUUGCUGAAGGGGUCGGCCACAUGCUUUGGCUAAAGGGCAUGAAAAAUCGUGAAUCCAGCGGUCUGCUUUCUGACUGGUUGUCAUCUGUUCUGCUGUCCUUGGGGCUGAGGUAGUAGAUUGAAUAGUUGUGGAGCCCUGCGCUCUCUCACUGAGAUAACUAUACAAUCUACUGUCUUUCCUAAGGCGACAGCCAAAUCAUCCACAAACACGUGUCUGCAUUCAUCCAAUGAGUCGCGAAGGAUUACAGAAGUAAAACGGGUUGGGAUUGAUGUGUCAUGUUGACUUCAUUCAUACGCAAGCAUGUCAGGCGAUGGGAUUGGUGUCUUGACAGGGUGAGGUAGUAGGUUGUAUAGUUUGGUGGGAGGGAUCAAACCCUGCUCAGGUGAUAACUAUACAGUCUAUUGCCUUCCUUGUUGUGCCAACUAUCUGCCAGCUAGUGGAAAAUCCCUGGAGCUUAAAUAUUGGUUCAACUUCACAGUCUGCUUCACACCACAUGAACUAUAUAUGUGAAUAUAGCGUGUUUUCAGCAUCCGUGUAUAUACACUGCCUGCAUAAACAGAAACAAAUACACCGUAGUUGCCACAAAAUAGGUUGAAAAUGCCCCAUAAACCUAUUUGUAGACUUUUAUGAAGCAGCAAAAUAAACAUGUUCUAUUCAGUAAAUCUGACUGAAUCAAGAGACUGCAAGUUAAGCAGUUUAUCUGCACUUAAUGCUUUUUGGUUCUGUUUUGCGUAGAUUAAUACAUAUUUGGAUGUAAAAGCUCAUGUAAAUUACAAUCAAUUACAACGAAAUGGCAAGUAACACAUUCAAUUAAAUGUAAAAUGUUGCAGUAGAAAGAUUAUAUGUUCUCCAGUAAUCUCUCUUUUGAUUGCAGUUUGCAAUUUUUUUUUUUAUUUUUUUUUUUGAUAAUUGGUAAUAAUAAGAAAUGUUUCUUGAGCAGCAAAUCAGCAUAUUAAAAUUAUUUCUGAAGGAUCACGUGACACUUAAGACUGGAGUAAUGAUGCUGAAAAUUCAGCUUUGAAUCACAUGCAAAUUUAUUUAUUUUUUUUUUUUUUUGAAUAAAAAUUCAUCCUAUGAGAAAAAAAUUCAAUAAAAAUCCAACUAACCUCAUGAUGAACAGUAAUUUAAUGAUGAUCGUGUUUGUAAUAUUCUCACUCCACUAAACAUUUGAUAGGUUAUGGUCAUAAAUUUAAAGAAAGAUUUGUGCUGUAUAGUGGAGCAGCAGAAGCGUUGCGAGUGUGAAAGCACCGUGAGACAGCUUUGUGUGUGUUUUGUGAAACAGCCCUAACACUUUACCUAACAAGCCUGAACAACAUCCAUGCCUCUCCUGCCAGCUUAACAUGCUGAUCUAGUAUUACAUAUGAAGAGAAAUACCAGAUUAAAAGAGAUUUAUGGAGCUCGGAUUUAUGGCUUAAUCAACAUUUUGGCUUUUCUGUUGGCUUGUGAUCAAACAGGAUUUUCACACAUCAUAACAGGAAAUUCAGUUUCAAUCAGACAAUGCAUGUGGCCUUGUUCAGUUGUUCUAUGAAUAAAAUAGUUUUAUUCAACAAUAUUUUGCCUUUUCGAUUUUAUUUUUAUUUUUAAGUUAAUUUUGAGCAGUUUGUACAAAAGAGUUAUCUUGUAGAAAGACAGUUUUGCUUUGCAGAAGUUAGAGGUAAAACAGAUUAUGCUGUUUGUAUUCCUUUGAUGUGCAACCUUUUUAAAAUCAUAUCAAACACAUUGUAUAAACAGGUAGUAUUUUGUAGGCAUAUAGUUAAAG